rnacentral:rRNA from 1 species
GAUGAACGCUGGCGGCGUGCCUAAUACAUGCCAGUCGAGCGAACGGACGAGAAGCUUGCUUUUCUGAUGUUAGCGGCGGACGGGUGAGUAACACGUGGAUAACCUACCUAUAAGACUGGGAUAACUUCGGGAAACCGGAGCUAAUACCGGAUAAUAUUUUGAACCGCAUGGUUCAAAAGUGAAAGACGGUCUUGCUGUCACUUAUAGAUGGAUCCGCGCUGCAUUAGCUAGUUGGUAAGGUAACGGCUUACCAAGGCAACGAUGCAUAGCCGACCUGAGAGGGGGAUCGGCCACACUGGAACUGAGACACGGUCCAGACCCCUAGGGGAGGCAGCAGGAGGGAAUCUUCCGCAAGGGGCAAAAGCCUGACGGAGCAACGCCGCGUGAGUGAUGAAGUUCUGCGGAUCGUAAAACUCUGUUAUGAGGGAAGAACAUAUGUGUAAGUAACGGUGCACAUCUGGACGGUACCUAAUCAGAAAGCCACGGCUAACUACGU